rnacentral:rRNA from 1 species
AGGAGAGUUUGGUCCUGGCUCAGAACGAACGCUGGCGGCAGGCCUAACACAUGCAAGUCGAGCGCGACCUUCGGGUUGAGCGGCGGACGGGUUAGUAACGCGUGGGAACGUACCCAGAUCUAAGGAAUAGCCACUGGAAACGGUGAGUAAUACCUUAUACGCCCUUCGGGGGAAAGAUUUAUCGGAUUUGGAUCGGCCCGCGUUAGAUUAGGUAGUUGGUGCGGUAACGGCGCACCAAGCCUACGAUCUAUAGCUGGUUUUAGAGGAUGAUCAGCAACACUGGGACUGAGACACGGCCCAGACUCCUACGGGAGGCAGCAGUGGGGAAUCUUGGACAAUGGGCGCAAGCCUGAUCCAGCCAUGCCGCGUGAGUGAUGAAGGCCUUAGGGUCGUAAAGCUCUUUCGCCAGAGAUGAUAAUGACAGUAUCUGGUAAAGAAACCCCGGCUAACUCCGUGCCAGCAGCCGCGGUAAUACGGAGGGGGUUAGCGUUGUUCGGAAUUACUGGGCGUAAAGCGCGCGUAGGCGGACCAGAAAGUUAGGGGUGAAAUCCCGGGGCUCAACCCCGGAACUGCCUCUAAAACUCCUGAUCUAGAGUUCGAGAGAGGUGAGUGGAAUUCCGAGUGUAGAGGUGAAAUUCGUAGAUAUUCGGAGGAACACCAGUGGCGAAGCGGCUCACUGGCUCGAUACUGACGCUGAGGUGCGAAAGUGUGGGGAGCAACAGGAUUAGAUACCCUGGUAGUCCACACCGUAAACGAUGAAUGCCAGUCGUCGGGU